rnacentral:rRNA from 10 species
UGGGGGAUAACGUAGGGAAACUUACGCUAAUACCGCAUACGACCUACGGGUGAAAGCAGGGGAUCUUCGGACCUUGCGCGAUUGAAUGAGCCGAUGUCGGAUUAGCUAGUUGGCGGGGUAAAGGCCCACCAAGGCGACGAUCCGUAGCUGGUCUGAGAGGAUGAUCAGCCACACUGGAACUGAGACACGGUCCAGACUCCUACGGGAGGCAGCAGUGGGGAAUAUUGGACAAUGGGCGCAAGCCUGAUCCAGCCAUACCGCGUGGGUGAAGAAGGCCUUCGGGUUGUAAAGCCCUUUUGUUGGGAAAGAAAUCCAGCCGGCUAAUACCUGGUUGGGAUGACGGUACCCAAAGAAUAAGCACCGGCUAACUUCGUGCCAGCAGCCGCGGUAAUACGAAGGGUGCAAGCGUUACUCGGAAUUACUGGGCGUAAAGCGUGCGUAGGUGGUUGUUUAAGUCUGUUGUGAAAGCCCUGGGCUCAACCUGGGAACUGCAGUGGAAACUGGACAACUAGAGUGUGGUAGAGGGUAGCGGAAUUCCCGGUGUAGCAGUGAAAUGCGUA